rnacentral:tRNA from 1 species
AGUAAGGUCAGCUAAUCUGAAGCUAUUGGGCUCAUGACCCAAAAAUGAAGUUUUUUCUUCUCUUACAA